UACGUAGGUGGCAAGCGUUAUCCGGAAUUAUUGGGCGUAAAGCGCGCGCAGGCGGUUUCUUAAGUCUGAUGUGAAAGCCCACGGCUCAACCGUGGAGGGUCAUUGGAAACUGGGGAACUUGAGUGCAGAAGAGAAAAGCGGAAUUCCACGUGUAGCGGUGAAAUGCGUAGAGAUGUGGAGGAACACCAGUGGCGAAGGCGGCAUCCUGGACCGGUAUUGACGCUGAGGCGCGAAAGCCAGGGGAGCAAACGGG
rnacentral:rRNA from 1 species